rnacentral:rRNA from 1 species
GGUGCUUGCAUUGGGGGGAGAGUGGCGAACGGGUGAGUAACACGUGGAUUAUCUGCCUUCAGGUCUGGGAUAACCCCGGGAAACCGGGGCUAAUACCGGAUAAUAUGGCAACAUUAAAGGUGGGGACCUUCGGGCCUAUCGCCUGAAGAUGAGUCCGCGUCCCAUUAGCUUGUUGGUGGGGUAAUGGCCUACCAAGGCGACGAUGGGUAGCCGGCCUGAGAGGGUGUACGGCCACAUUGGGACUGAGAUACGGCCCAGACUCCUACGGGAGGCAGCAGUUAAGAAUCUUGCGCAAUGGGCGAAAGCCUGACGCAGCGACGCCGCGUGGACGAUGAAGGCCUUCGGGUUGUAAAGUCCGGUAAGCAGGGAAGGAUAAGUGUAAAGUAAUAUCUUGCACGAUGACGGUACCUGCCUAAAGCCCCGGCUAACUACGUGCCAGCAGCCGCGGUAAUACGUAUGGGGCAAGCGUUGUUCGGAAUUAUUGGGCAUAAAGGGCGUCUAGGCGGGGGACUAAGUUAGGUGUGAAAGCCAUGGGCUCAACCCAUGAAUUGCACCUAAAACUGGUUUUCUUGAGUUCGGGAGAGGAGAGCGGAAUUCCCGGUGUAGCGGUGAAAUGCGUAGAUAUCGGGAAGAACACCAGUGGCGAAGGCGGCUCUCUGGCCUAGAACUGACGCUGAAGCGCGAAAGCGUGGGGAGCGAACGGGAUUAGAUACCCCGGUAGUCCACGCCGUAAACGUUGUGUACUGGGUGUUAGUGGCUUGACCACUAGUGCCGUCGCAAACGCAUUAAGUACACCGCCUGGGGAGUACGUCCGCAAGGAUGAAACUCAAAGAAAUUGACGGGGGCCCGCACAAGCGGUGGAGCAUGUGGUUUAAUUCGAUGAUACGCGAAGAACCUUACCUGGGCUUGAACUGUACUUGAUCGGGGUAGAGAUACACCCUCCUUCGGGCAGGUGCAGAGGUGCUGCAUGGUUGUCGUCAGCUCGUGUCGUGAGAUGUUGGGUUAAGUCCCGCAACGAGCGCAACCCUUACCCAUUGUUGCCAUCAGGUAAUGCUGAGCACUCUAGGGGAACUGUCGGUGAUAAACCGGAGGAAGGUGGGGAUGACGUCAAAUCAUCA